UAGUCUCGCACAGAUGCAUAUCAAUAAGCGGAGGAAAAGAAACUAACAAGGAUUCCCCUAGUAACGGCGAGUGAAGCGGGAAGAGCUCAAAUUUGAAAUCUUAAAGGGUUUCCCUUUACGAAUUGUAGUUUAAAGAAGUGUUUUCUGUUGAGGUUUUGGUAAAAGUUCUUUGGAAUAGGACAUCAUAGAGGGUGAGAAUCCCGUAUUUGACCUUUACUUUCAACUUUGUGAUACACUUUCAAAGAGUCGGAUUGUUUGGGAAUGCAGUCCAAAAUGGGUGGUAAAUUUCAUCUAAAGCUAAAUAUUGGCGAGAGACCGAUAGCGAACAAGUACCGUGAGGGAAAGAUGAAAAGAACUUUGAAAAGAGAGUUAAACAGUACGUGAAAUUGUCAAAAGGGAAGCGUUUGACACCAGUGUUGUUUUUCUGAAGAUCAAUUAAAGAACUGUUUAUGCUAAGUUGUUUAGACUUUAUCAGCUAUCUGCUUAGUUUUGAGCUUUUCUUUAAUGCACUUUUCAGUUAACAAGUCAACAUCAAUUUCUUUUGCUGUAAAAAAGCUUGAGGAAGGUGGCUUGAGAUUCGUCUUAAGUGUUUAUAGCCUCUUGCCUAUGCAGUCGGAGAGAUUGAGGUCUGCAGCGUAGAUCCUUCGGGGCUAAAUGCAUUUGUGCUAAGUUAUAGCAUUUUAUAGACAACUUGUUGACUAUGAUUUGUCUUGUAGCUUACUCGCUUAUGUUAUUUUACCUACGCUUAGGAUGUUGACGCAUGAGAUAUACGC
rnacentral:rRNA from 1 species